GUGCUCACUUCAACAACAUAUACACUAAAAUUGGAACAAUAUAGAAAAGACUAGCAUGGCCCCUGCGCAAGGAUGACAUACAAAUUCAUGAAGCAUUUAGUGAAAAU
ensembl:snRNA U6 U6 spliceosomal RNA